rnacentral:rRNA from 1 species
CCUACGGGUGGCUGCAGUCGAGGAUCUUCGGCAAUGAGCGCAAGCUUGACCGAGCGACGCCGCGUGAGCGAUGAAGGCCUUCGGGUUGUAAAGCUCUUUAGUGGGGGAGAUCUAUCCCAAAAAUAAGCACGGGCUAAGUUCGUGCCAGCAGCCGCGGUAAGACGAACCGUGCGAACGUUGUUCGGAAUCACUGGGCUUAAAGGGAGCGUAGGCGGGCUAUCAAGUCUGGGGUGAAAUCCCACGGCUCAACCGUGGAACUGCCUUAGAUACUGACGGCCUCGAGGGAGAUAGGGGCAUGCGGAACUGUAGGUGGAGCGGUGAAAUGCGUUGAUAUCUACAGGAACUCCGGUGGCGAAAGCGGCGUGCUGGUCCUUCUGACGCUGAGGCUCGAAAGCUAGGGGAGCAAACGGGAUUAGAUACCCUUGUAGUC